AUCUUCUUUGAAGGUAUGCUUAAGGAGGGGCUUGCGACACAUUAGUUAGUUGGCAGGGUAAAGGCCUACCAAGACUAUGAUGUGUAGCUGGACUGAGAGGUUGAACAGCCACAUUGGGACUGAGACACGGCCCAAACUCCUACGGGAGGCAGCAGUAGGGAAUUUUCGGCAAUGGAGGAAACUCUGACCGAGCAACGCCGCGUGAACGAUGAAGUACCUCGGUAUGUAAAGUUCUUUUAUUAAGGAAGAAAAAAGAGUGGAAAAACUCCCUUGACGGUACUUAAUGAAUAAGCCCCGGCUAAUUAUGUGCCAGCAGCCGCGGUAAUACAUAAGGGGCGAGCGUUAUCCGGAAUUAUUGGGCGUAAAGGGUGCGUAGGCGGUUUAAUAAGUCUAUAGUUUAAUUUCAGUGCUUAACGCUGUUGUGCUAUAGAAACUGUUUUACUAGAGUGAGAUAGAGGCAAGCGGAAUUCCAUGUGUAGCGGUAAAAUGCGUAAAUAUAUGGAGGAACACCAGAGGCGUAGGCGGCUUGCUGGGUCUUUACUGACGCUGAGGCACGAAAGCGUGGGGAGCAAACAGGAUUAGAUACCCUGGUAGUCCACGCCGUAAACGAUGAGUACUAAGUGUCGGGUAAAACUGGUACUGAAGUUAACACAUUAAGUACUCCGCCUGAGUAGUACGUACGCAAGUAUGA
rnacentral:rRNA from 1 species